rnacentral:rRNA from 1 species
GACGUAGGAUGCAAGCGUUGUCCGGAUUUAUUGGGCGUAAAGAGUUCGUAGGCGGUUUGUUAAGUCUGAUGUUAAAGACCGGGGCUCAACCUCGGAAAUGCAUUGGAUACUGGCAGACUGGAGUGCAGUAGAGGCUAGUGGAAUUCCCAGUGUAGCGGUGAAAUGCGUAGAUAUUGGGAAGAACACCGGUGGCGUAGGCGACUAGCUGGGCUGUAACUGACGCUGAGGAACGAAAGCCAGGGGAG